UAUACCGCAACAGCAGCAGUAAUGCAAUGUGACGCCAAUUGUAGAUAAUGCACACUCAACCCAAUUCUAUACCACUUAUCGCCGCCCCACCACUCCCUUGGUGCUAUCACUUUUGUUAUAUAUAUUCCAAAGUAACGCGCCGGCGUUAAGCAACAGCGCAGUCGACCCAGUUGAUUUACGUGUACACAACCUCAUUCCCAUACAGCCAUAAAAGCUGCACAAUGUAUUUUAUUUCUUGCCACCGCUUGUCACUGUUCCAAUUGCGCUAUUGCUGCCAACGCAGCGUUUGGCCUCAGCCCCAUUACAAAGCUUUGUUGUGCACCGCUCGUUCCUACCUUAAAUUAUAAUGCAUGAGCUAAAUAGUAGUAACUUGUCGUCAUGUGUUUUACGAUUGUCCAAACAUUGAACUGGCAAAACCGGGAAAGUGGAAAGUGUGUGGGUAUUAUUAGACAAAUUGUACCGUUGGCACAUGUGAUGAUGGCUGCUGCUCCGUUGGAAAUCUCUUUUACGGUAUAUGAUGCACACAUAUGUGUAUGUAUGUACGUUGGGAUUUAUGUACACAUGAAUAUGUAAGGUUCGUACUACUCGUAUAGGGGUCACUCACCUUUCCGCACGUCGCACAUUCGGCAUUUAAAUGCCUCAGCUGUAUUUCUGUACGUACAGACGCUGCAGUCCCAGAAAUUUUCCUCGAUCGCUU